rnacentral:rRNA from 1 species
UACGGAGGGGGCAAGCGUUACUCGGAAUUAUUGGGCGUAAAGGGCGCGUAGGCGGUCCCGCACGUCGGAGGUGAAAUCCCCGGGCUCAACCCGGGAGCUGCCUCCGAUACGGCGGGGCUUGAGUCCGGGAGAGGGGAGCAGAAUUCCCAGUGUAGCGGUGAAAUGCGUAGAUAUUGGGAGGAAUACCGGUGGCGAAGGCGGCUCCCUGGACCGGUACUGACGCUGAGGCGCGAAAGCGUGGGUAGCAAACAGGAUUAGAUACCCUGGUAGUCCACGCCGUAAACGAUGGGUGCUUGGUGUCGGGGGUAUCGACCCCUCCGGUGCCGAAGCUAACGCAUUAAGCACCCCGCCUGGGGAGUACGGUCGCAAGGCUGAA